rnacentral:rRNA from 1 species
ACGAACGCUGGCGGCGUGCUUAACACAUGCAAGUCGAACGGAAAGGCCCUGCUUUUGUGGGGUGCUCGAGUGGCGAACGGGUGAGUAACACGUGAGUAACCUGCCCUUGACUUUGGGAUAACUUCAGGAAACUGGGGCUAAUACCGGAUAGGAGCUCCUGCUGCAUGGUGGGGGUUGGAAAGUUUCGGCGGUUGGGGAUGGACUCGCGGCUUAUCCGCUUGUUGGUGGGGUAGUGGCUUACCAAGGCUUUGACGGGUAGCCGGCCGGAGAGGGUGACCGGGCACAUUGGGACUGAGGUACGGCCCAGACGCCAACCGGGGGCGGCGGUGGGGAAAAUUUCGCAAUGGGCGGGAGCCUGGUGCAACGACGCCCCGAUCGGGAUGACGGCCUUCGGGUUGUAAACCGCUUUCGCCUGUGACGAAGCGUUAGUGACGGUAAUGGGUAAAGAAGCACCGGCUAACUACGUG